rnacentral:rRNA from 1 species
CUACGAGACUACGCUGGCGGUAUGCCUUAUACAUGCAAGUCGAACGGUAAGGUCCUUCGGGAUACACGAGUGGCGGACGGGUGAGUAACACGUAGGAAUAUGCCCUUAGAUGGGGGACAACUCGGAGAAAUUCGAGCUAAUACCCCAUAUGUCGAAAGAUGAAAGAUUUAUCGUCUAAGGAGUAGCCUGCGCUUGAUUAGCUAGUUGGUGGGGUAAAAGCCUACCAAGGCGACGAUCAAUAGCUGGUUUGAGAGGAUGACCAGCCACAAUGGGACUGAGAUACGGCCCAUACUCCUACGGGAGGCAGCAGUAGGGAAUUUUGCGCAAUGGAGGAAACUCUGACGCAGCAAUACCGCGUGUAGGAAGACGCUCUGUGGAGUGUAAACUACUGUCGGGUGGGAAGAAUUUUGACGGUACCACCAAAGGAAGCACCGGCUAACUCUGUG